GCCUCUCUGCUCCCAGCCGUUAAGAGGCCAGUGUUGAUCAGUGGCUGUCCAGGCCUUUCAGAGACACAAUGAUGAUGUCACUGAUUCUACUGCUGGCCACCCUGGGGCUCCUUGUUCAGGAUUCAUCAGGAGAAAUCAUCCUGACUCAGUCUCCUGGAUCUCAGUCUGCUGUUCCAGGACAGACUGUCUCCAUCAGAUGUAAAGCCAGUUCAAGUGUUAGCAAUGACUUGCAGUGGUACCUUCAGAAACCUGGAGAAGCUCCUAAACUCCUGAUUUAUAAUGCUCAAUCCCGUCAGUCUGGAGUUUCUGAUCGUUUCAGUGGGAGUCAGUCUGGGACUGACUUCACUCUGACCAUCAGUGGAGUUCAGACAGCAGAUGCAGGAGUUUAUUACUGUCAGCAGGAUAACAGCACACCGUCCACACUGAUACAACGUCGUACAAAAACCUCCCUCAGUUAAAGAGGAACUGAUCUGACUCAACAGCUGCACAGAAAUACAGACACUUAAGAAGUUUGACUGACAAUGAAGUCCACAUAACAGAAUAAUGUCAGGAAAUACUCUUUAUACUGUACAAAGUUAUAAUGGUAAUUUUGUUAAAAUAGGGCAUUA